AUUGAACGCUGGCGGCAGGCUUAACACAUGCAAGUCGAGCGGGGGAAGGUAGCUUGCUACCGGACCUAGCGGCGGACGGGUGAGUAAUGCUUAGGAAUCUGCCUAUUAGUGGGGGACAACAUCUCGAAAGGGAUGCUGAUACCGCAUACGUCCUACGGGAGAAAGCAGGGGAUCUUCGGACCUUGCGCUAAUAGAUGAGCCUAAGUCGGAUUAGCUAGUUGGUGGGGUAAAGGCCUACCAAGGCGACGAUCUGUAGCGGGUCUGAGAGGAUGAUCCGCCACACUGGGACUGAGACACGGCCCAGACUCCUACGGGAGGCAGCAGUGGGGAAUAUUGGACAAUGGGGGGAACCCUGAUCCAGCCAUGCCGCGUGUGUGAAGAAGGCCUUAUGGUUGUAAAGCACUUUAAGCGAGGAGGAGGCUACUUUAGUUAAUACCUAGAGAUAGUGGACGUUACUCGCAGAAUAAGCACCGGCUAACUCUGUG
rnacentral:rRNA from 1 species